GCUUACGGCCACACCACCCUGAGCACGCCCGCUCUCGUCUGAUCUCGGAAGCCAAGCAGGGUCGGGCCUGGUUAGUACUUGGAUGGGAGACCGCCUGGGAAUACCAGGUGCUCUAAGCAU
rnacentral:rRNA from 1 species